rnacentral:rRNA from 1 species
AAAUUGAAGAGUUUGAUCAUGGCUCAGAUUGAACGCUGGCGGCAGGCCUAACACAUGCAAGUCGAGCGGUAACACAGAGAGCUUGCUCUCGGGUGACGAGCGGCGGACGGGUGAGUAAUGUCUGGGAAACUGCCUGAUGGAGGGGGAUAACUACUGGAAACGGUAGCUAAUACCGCAUAACGUCGCAAGACCAAAGUGGGGGACCUUCGGGCCUCAUGCCAUCAGAUGUGCCCAGAUGGGAUUAGCUAGUAGGUGGGGUAACGGCUCACCUAGGCGACGAUCCCUAGCUGGUCUGAGAGGAUGACCAGCCACACUGGAACUGAGACACGGUCCAGACUCCUACGGGAGGCAGCAGUGGGGAAUAUUGCACAAUGGGCGCAAGCCUGAUGCAGCCAUGCCGCGUGUGUGAAGAAGGCCUUCGGGUUGUAAAGCACUUUCAGCGGGGAGGAAGGCGAUAAGGUUAAUAACCUUGUCGAUUGACGUUACCCGCAGAAGAAGCACCGGCUAACUCCGUGCCAGCAGCCGCGGUAAUACGGAGGGUGCAAGCGUUAAUCGGAAUUACUGGGCGUAAAGCGCACGCAGGCGGUCUGUCAAGUCGGAUGUGAAAUCCCCGGGCUCAACCUGGGAACUGCAUUCGAAACUGGCAGGCUAGAGUCUUGUAGAGGGGGGUAGAAUUCCAGGUGUAGCGGUGAAAUGCGUAGAGAUCUGGAGGAAUACCGGUGGCGAAGGCGGCCCCCUGGACAAAGACUGACGCUCAGGUGCGAAAGCGUGGGGAGCAAACAGGAUUAGAUACCCUGGUAGUCCACGCCGUAAACGAUGUCGAUUUGGAGGUUGUGCCCUUGAGGCGUGGCUUCCGGAGCUAACGCGUUAAAUCGACCGCCUGGGGAGUACGGCCGCAAGGUUAAAACUCAAAUGAAUUGACGGGGGCCCGCACAAGCGGUGGAGCAUGUGGUUUAAUUCGAUGCAACGCGAAGAACCUUACCUGGUCUUGACAUCCACAGAACUUAGCAGAGAUGCUUUGGUGCCUUCGGGAACUGUGAGACAGGUGCUGCAUGGCUGUCGUCAGCUCGUGUUGUGAAAUGUUGGGUUAAGUCCCGCAACGAGCGCAACCCUUAUCCUUUGUUGCCAGCGGUUAGGCCGGGAACUCAAAGGAGACUGCCAGUGAUAAACUGGAGGAAGGUGGGGAUGACGUCAAGUCAUCAUGGCCCUUACGACCAGGGCUACACACGUGCUACAAUGGCAUAUACAAAGAGAAGCGACCUCGCGAGAGCAAGCGGACCUCAUAAAGUAUGUCGUAGUCCGGAUUGGAGUCUGCAACUCGACUCCAUGAAGUCGGAAUCGCUAGUAAUCGUAGAUCAGAAUGCUACGGUGAAUACGUUCCCGGGCCUUGUACACACCGCCCGUCACACCAUGGGAGUGGGUUGCAAAAGAAGUAGGUAGCUUAACCUUCGGGAGGGCGCUUACCACUUUGUGAUUCAUGACUGGGGUGAAGUCGUAACAAGGUAACCGUAGGGGAACCUGCGGUUGGAUCACCUCCUUACCUUAAAGAA